rnacentral:tmRNA from 1 species
GGGGAUGUUUUAUAUUCGAUGGUAAAUGAAAUAAUGCACCGCAAUUUGAGCUGAUUAGCUCAUUAAACUGAUCAAAAAAGUAAGUGCAAAAAACUUAUUUGCGAAAGCCAAAGGACUUUUCCAAGUUCCUCAACUUUCACCAGUUUUAGCCUAAACUGCUAAAACCGUCUCUUGUCGUUGACUUCAAGGCGACUUUCGAGGCGUCAUAAACUUGAAGCUAGAAAUAUUUAGCUUUAGCCUAAAUAUUUUGAAACCAUUGCUAAAUUAGAUUAUUUGUUUUUUGUUGUUUUUAUAGCAAUAAUCGAAACAAAAAAGACAACUAUAUUUGUAGACGUGUAUUUGGACAUCUAUCAGACAGGGGUGUGAUUCCCCUCAUCUCCACCA